rnacentral:lncRNA from 1 species
CUAGGGUUAGCCAUUUAGGCAUGGUAGCGGUGCUUAAAUAGGAAAAGGGGCUAGGUUCAGGGAUUAUUGUACCAAUUUUGAUCGUACGAUCGCAAUCGGAUGGACGGAUCGGAGGGCAUGGUUCAGUGGGUUGUGGGCUGUGUAGAGUGACCAUGGGCUGAGAGAAGAGAGAGAAAUAAACAGCCCAUGACAGAUUUUUUAAAUACCAAAAUGUGUGCGAUU